rnacentral:rRNA from 1 species
GUGCGAGACCGAUAGCGAACAAGUACCGUGAGGGAAAGAUGAAAAGAACUUUGAAAAGAGAGUUAAAGAGUACCUGAAACUGUUGAAAGGGAACCGUAUCGUUUCUAGUGUUUAUCUUUUGCAUAUUUCAUUGGCGGUUGUAAAAUUGCUGGUGCCCUGUGCAAGAGUGUGACGUCAGAGUCAGUUUAAGUUGCGGGAGAUGGGCAGAGAGGAGGUAGUCCGCUUGCGGAUGUUACAGCUUUUUGUCUAGUAGCCGUGGUUGAGACUGAGGUGCCUAC